GAGGUUUUUGAGCAACAAUGGACAAGUUGUGCAUUAAUAUCUACAUGCCUUUAAUGUUAACCUUAUUGAACUCUCCAUCAGAAGGUGAUGCUUUGGAAAUUUUCCCGGCAGAAAUUUUCGGAGCUUCCACUGGAAAAGCUGGUGAACAUUUAAUAUUAAAAUGCAGCAUUUCUCAUAUUCAGAGAUUAGAUAAAUCAGUUCACAUGUAUUUGUGUAAAAAUGGUGUUGGAGAGAGAUUAGAACUACUUGACAAUAAAGACGAGCACACCUUCACUCUGAGUAAUAUUUCAUUACAAGACUCUGGGAGAUACAGCUGUGUUUACUU